CGUAUAUUAAAGUUGUUGCAGUUAAAAAGCUCGUAGUUGAAUUUCGGGGUCAGUAGGUUGGUCGUGCCUCUGGUAUGCACUGGCUUUACUGAUUCCUCCUUCUUGAAGAACUGUAAUGUCAUUAAUUUGGUGUUGCAGGGAAACAGGACUGUUACUUUGAAAAAAUUAGAGUGUUUAAAGCAGGCAA
rnacentral:rRNA from 1 species